GUGCUCACUUCAGCAGCACAUAUACUAAAAAUGGAAUGAUACAGGGAAGAUUAGCAUGGCCCCUACACAAGGAUGACACACUAAUUCAUGAACCAUCCCAUACUUUU